UGUACAAAUUUGUUGACCCUAAUUGAUGAAAAUUCGUAGUCGUUUCACUUUAACAAUUGAAAUGGUUAAACUAUUAUUUUACUUAUGCAUUGGUUUUAUUAUAAUCGUGGCUGACAACUCUGAACGAUGGAAAUGGAGUUCCAUUACGUGAAUUAGGCACAUCCAGAAAUCAUAUUACGACAACCGAAGCCAGGGAAACGGAUUCCUUAAAAUGGAUUUUAAAUCAAAAAAGCUCAAUAAAAGGUGUGGUUGCCGCAUUGAAGAAAACGUCUAAAGUAGAUCAGAACGAAUUCGGAUUAAAGGUAUAAUGAAAGCUGAUUGCAUUCUCUUUAAACUUGAAAUUGCAUUCCCAACAGAAAAAUACGCAUUCAAGAGAUGGCAAUAAUAAACAGAAAGAUUAUGUUAAACUCAAUAAAAGCUCUACAAUUUUUAAAUCUGAAGAUAUAACUUUAUCUGCAUUGCCCCGAAAAAGGAUCCCAAGAGAUUCUCAAAAACAUAAUGCUUUAUUGGAAACUAAAGGAUACACUCCUAACACCCAAUUAGAAACCGUUUGCGUGGGCAGAUCGACCAUAUACAAUACACCUAGAGUGAAAAAUUGGUUGAGAACCCAAUUAUUUCUCAAUUGGCACAACUGGUGGGACUCGGGCACCAAGAAUAGAAUAUAUUUUAUGGCUCUACGAAAGCAAUUGUUUGAUCAGGGCAGAUCAGAAGAAUGUCACACCAGAAAUAACAGUAGAGUCCUGCCCUAUCUUCAAUGCUCCUUAAUGCGUAACCAACGCAUGGAAUACAUGAUUCCGAUGUAUCCUUUGCAUCAAGUUUACUUUCAUUUUCUAACUACGUUAAAAGCAGACUUAUUUCAUUGAUGUCAAUAAACUUUAUCGAGAGAACAGACC